rnacentral:rRNA from 1 species
GACGAACGCUGGCGGCGUGCUUAACACAUGCAAGUCGAACGGAAAGGCCCAGCUUUGGUUGGGUGCUCGAGUGGCGAACGGGUGAGUAACACGUGAGUAACCUGCCCUUGACUUCGGGAUAACCCCAGGAAACUGGGUCUAAUACCGGAUAGGAGCUCCUGCUGCAUGGUGGGGUUGGGAAAGUUUCGGCGGUUGGGGAUGUACUCGCGGCUUAUCAGCUUGUUGGUGGGGUAGUGGCUUACCAAGGCGUUGACGGGUAGCCGGCCUGAGAGGGUGACCGGCCACAUUGGGACUGAGAUACGGCCCAGACUCCUACGGGAGGCAGCAGUGGGGAAUAUUGCACAAUGGGCGGAAGCCUGAUGCAGCAACGCCGCGUGGGGGAUGACGGCCUUCGGGUUGUAAACCGCUUUCGCCUGUGACGAAGCGUGAGUGACGGUAAUGGGUAAAGAAGCACCGGCUAACUACGUG